GAUGAACGCUGGCGGCAUGCCUUACACAUGCAAGUCGAACGGUAACAGGUCUUCGGAUGCUGACGAGUGGCGAACGGGUGAGUAAUACAUCGGAACGUGCCUAGUAGUGGGGGAUAACUACUCGAAAGAGUGGCUAAUACCGCAUGAGAUCUACGGAUGAGAGCAGGGGAUCGCAAGACCUUGUGCUACUAGAGCGGCCGAUGGCAGAUUAGGUAGUUGGUGGGAUAAAAGCUUACCAAGCCGACGAUCUGUAGCUGGUCUGAGAGGACGAUCAGCCAAACUGGGACUGAGACACGGCCCAGACUCCUACGGGAGGCAGCAGUGGGGAAUUUUGGACAAUGGGCGAAAGCCUGAUCCAGCAAUGCCGCGUGCAGGAUGAAGGCCUUCGGGUUGUAAACUGCUUUUGUACGGAACGAAAAGCCCCGGGUUAAUACCCUGGGGUCAUGACGGUACCGUAAGAAUAAGCACCGGCUAACUACGUGCCAGCCGCCGCUGUAA
rnacentral:rRNA from 1 species